rnacentral:lncRNA from 1 species
AAGCACUUCUAUAAGCUCCACCUCCCAGUCCUGUCCAUAGGUGAGACAGGAAGAUCAGGGGUGGCCGGAGUAGGGCAUUUCCCUUCUCCCGGUCAUUUAAGCUCUGGUAAAUGGUUUAUCUUGAGGUCAGGCCUUUGCUAAGGAGGACAGAGAGCUCUAGGUGUAUUUCAGAAUGAUUGCUUUCCUGUCUCCCUGCCAGAAGCCCUAAGGGGCAGGAGUGGUUUCCUCUAUUCCUCUGAUCUUCACCCUGAGAACCUGAUGAGGCUCCCAGAGGUAAAACUUACAAAGUGUGAAGUUUAUCCACACAGAACCUCCACCUAUUUGUCAAUGAUAGUUUAAGCGUUCCUACCAGUAUUAUCUCCAUCUGCAGGCUUUUGUUCCUGGGCUUCAGCUCCCUUAAUAUGUGAUUCUCAGUAUCUGCCUCUCUAGUUUUUGCAGUAGUGGUUUGCCAUGUAACCUCAAUUCUCAGAUCUAGAAAGAGUUUUUGAUUUUUCAGUUUGUUCAGUAUUUUUCUUGUUUUGAGAACAAGAGUGAUGGCUUCCAAGCUCUUUACAUGUCAGGCCAGUAACUGAAGUCCAAUGACAGAUUUAUAUUUCAUCUAGAGAGAGAACAGUAGUCCUGAUAUAGUUUAGCCACAUCCAAGGAAUGAAGUUCAAUUGUAGUAACCCUCACUUGAAAGAACAUAUCCAAAGAACAGUGAAUGGAAAAUAAAGCCAUGAGCAAAUAGGAAUUAUUAAAAGUCUGAAAACUGGUCUGACUCAGCAUUAGUACCACACUGGUUUCACCAUUCAGAGAAUUUAUCCAUGGUUGGUAAGCUAUCCUAAUGUCACUGCUUUCUAGAUCUAGAUGUAUAAAGUAUAUAAACAACACUGACAAUUUUUUUGUUACUUACAUAUACAUUAUAUAGUGAUUUCUAGAGAAAAACCAGGAAUUCUACCACAGAAAUAGAAAUGUUUGGUAAGCUCAGCCACUGUUGGUAGAAAUUCAGUAAGUACAUUCUUUCUCAUAGAUAAUAAUGGUAUAACAUUUGGUAAAGUAGAAGUACUAUGAUUCACCUGCCAUUGAAUUAGUGUCUCAGAAAAUACCAAGAAAUGCAUAUUAGAUGAUUCAAAGUCAAUAAAAGUUUACCACAAAGCAAACAUCAGACCCAAUACAACUUUACAGAGUAGUUCUACCACACAUUCAAGGAAAAAAAAAUAAUUUCACUUUUUCACAAAACUCUUGCAACAGGAUAGAGAAAGAGAAUAUACCCAAUCUCAUUUUAUGAGUUCAGCAUUUUAAUGUUCAAACCUAAUAAGAAUGGUCAAAUAAAUAAAAAUUAUGUAACAACCACACUCUUGAACAGUCAUGUAAAAUAUAAGUAAUUAAAUAAAGAUUUUGGAAAUUAGCACAAAGUAAUAUAUAAGUUAAUAAAUCAUGACUAAACUAAAUUUAUCCAAGUGUUGCAAUGUUGGUUUAAUAAUAGAAAAUUAACUAAUAUAAUAUUUCAUAUUAAAGGAAGAAAGGCAUAUGAAUACCUUAAUAGAUACAGAAAAAGUAUUUUUAAAAGUUCCAUAUUCAUGUAUGAUUUAAAAUAAAUUUUAGUAAAUUAGGAAAGCAUGAAACUUCAUUAAUUUUUAAAAAGGCAAACAAAACCACUCAAACAAAAAUGUACAGUAAACAUCAAAUCUAAAGAUGCAAUGUUGGAAAAAAUAAAGAUGUAAUGUUGAAGAUAUUUUCUUUAAGAUCAGGAAAAAGAUAAGGAUGCCUAUUACCAUGACUUCUAUUCAACCAUAGACUGUGGGAUUUAGUUAGUUCAACAAAAGUAGGGAGAAAAGAAAUAAAGGCAAUAAGGAAGGAUAAGAACCAAAGACUCAUUUUUGGUAGGUGAUAUAAUUUUCAUCUUAAUGUAGAAAAUCUAAAAGAAAUUCUAGAAAAAUUAAGACAUUUAAUUAGAAAGUUUGGCAAGUUUUUGACAUAAACAUCAAUAUAUAAAAGCCAGUUGUAUUUCUACAUCAGGAAUAGCCAUUAUAAAUCAGUUAUAAAUAAGGACAUUUUCAGUGGCAACUAAAAAUAUAAAAUAGGGAUAAUUCUAGCAAAAGGCAUGUAAACUUUUAUGAAAUUUUGCUAAAAAUCAUUAAGGAUGAUCUAAACAAGUAGAGAGAAAUAACCUGUUCUUAUAAAGACUCAGUUUUGCAUAGAUUAAGCUAUAGAUUUAGUGACUUUAGGGACUUCGCAUAAAAAUCCCAAAAUGAUUUUAGAGGGUACUGUGGAGCUGCAGGGACUGGUAGUUUGUAGGAGGUAGUAGAGGACACAGGGAACUGGGAACAUGCUGGAUCAAGUGGAUCAAGUUGUAAAAUUAGGUAACAGAGACUUUUUUCAUUUGGGAACACAUUUCUACAUUAUAUGAUUUAAUCCCUUAGUGAGGACUCCAGGAGACAAUGUUAACACACUGCUAGGACAGUUCUUCGAUGUCUGCAAAAACCAGUAGCACUGAAUAAGUGAAGUAUAAGCACCAGAAUUGCCAUGGCAGGGAGCAGAGGAAGGGAUCAAAAUAUUCACAGAAGUGGACAUUCAAAAAUGGAUACAGUAUAUAAGGCCAAAAAUCCUAUCUACUAACUAUAUUCUACACAAGGGCUGGGAGGAUCCUCCAUUUAUUUAGAACAAUAACGAAUAUGCUGGUGAGACAGGCACCAGCAUCAUUGAGAAGCUCUUCUCUUUAAGCGCAGAACUGUCAUUACAAAACUGGGAUUGCAGAUAACGAUGGGGGUGAUCCCAAAGUACUAGGGACCAGGAGUUGUGGCUUAAACAUUAGGACAGAGGGGAGCACAGUUUUCACAAAAUAUAACAAGUUAGAAUGGUAAUCAGAAGCAGCCAUGGAGAUAUUUAACAGAAUACAGUCUUCCAAGAGGCCCAAGAGAUGGACACUUUUCUGAUCCAGACCCACUGAGCGUAGGCAGAGCCUGGGUGGCUCAGAGAUAGUAUCCUACAACAUUAUAGCAUCACAGCACUUGGUGGUAAUUUUCCUAGUCCUUCCUCAAAGGAUAUAAAGGCCAUUUGCCAGCACGAAGAGGAAAAAUCCAAAUACAUUGAGGAUUGCUGGACACAAGAACUGAGUCGGCCUAAAGUUGCAAAUGGUCCCCUUUUCAGGAUGAGGCAAGGUAGAAGUGAAGUAAUAAAAGGAAUUCUGACCCUGGACCAACUCUAAAGUGUGCAGGGGUGGUAAUAUCUACCAUAUACACAUUUACUUCACUUCUGUGGCCCCUACAGAAGCUAGAUAGAUCCUGCUGGGUGAUAGUAGGCCACUGCAAACUAACCAAGGCCUACCCCUAGUCAUAGUUUCUGUGCUGGAUGAGGUAUCUUUGCUAAAGCAAAUUAACACAGCUUUAGGUACAUGGUAUCUUUAAUUCACAAUAACAUCCAUCAAUGAGUAUUCACCAUAAAAGAAAUGUUAUACAGCCAAUAAAUAGAAUGGCAUAAACAACUGAUCUCAUCCAGCCUCUGCCAUUGGUUGCCUUAAUGCUAAUACAAUGGGUUCAAAAAUGAAGUAGCUACGGCUAUACCCAAGAAGAAGUGUUCCUACUCAUCAAAGCCAAUCUGGCUACUGCUGCUACUAGACACUCAGUCUUCUAGCAACAGAAGCCAAUCCUAAGCUAUGAAUUUAGUAUAUCCCUCAAGGAGAGCCAGCAGCCAUUUGGUGGUAAGUUGAUUACAUUAGACCUGUUGUCCAUUGAAUUGUGUCCCCCAAAAAAGAUAUACUUAAGUCCUAGAAUGUGGUAUCUGUGCACAUGAUCUUGUUUGAAAAUAAGGCCUUGAAGAUGUAUUCAAAUAAGUUAAGGUGGAGUAUAGUGGACCCUUAAUCCAAUAUGAUUGUUAUGCUUAAAAGAGGAGAAGAAACACAGAGACACAGAGAAGAAUGACAUGAGAAGACACAGACAUGGAGGUAAGAUAGGCCUGUGACCACAGAGGCAGAGAUGGAAAUUAUGUAGCUGUAAACUAAAGAAUGCAAAGGAUUGCUAACAACACAAGAAGCUAGGAGAGAGAGAAAAUGGCCCUGACAUCACCUUUUUGCUAGACCUCUAGCCUGCAGAAUUGUAAGAGAAUAAUUUUCUGUUAUUUUAAUCCAUCCAGUUUGUGGUCAUUCAUUACUGUGGCCCUAAAAACUAAUACAGGACACUUUACCCUUGGCAAGGGCAGUGAUUUACUUAUCUAGGAUUGACACAUAUGAUGGGUAUGGUUUGCCUUUCCAGGAAAACUGAAAGCUUACAGUGAUUCACCAACAUAGAACACAGAAUUCUACCUAACACUGCCUUGGACCAAGGGUCCCUCUUUACAGAAAAGGUGGUACAGUGGUUGACACAUGUCCAUGGGAUCCAUGGGUCCUAUCACAAAAUAUACUACCCAGAAUAUACUGGCCUAAAAGAGUGGCCUUUUGAAGGUACAGCUGACACAUUAACUUGAAGAAGGGAUGCCAUCCUCCAGGAUAUAUCUCUUCAACCUGUAAGUCCAGCACUCCUGGAUCCCAGAGAGUGAGUGUUUUCACUAAGAAAACAGCUAGCGUUUUAUUGAAUUUUAAAUUAUGGCUACUGCCCAGUCCCUGAAGACCUCUUACAUCCAGUGAACAGCAGACAAAGAAAAUGUUUAAUUGACUCUGCUCAUCAUUAGGAGGAGGCAGAGCUGCUACUAUACCAGGCAAGGAAGAAUAAGUUUGGUACAUAGGUGAUCCAUUGUAUUAUCUAUUGCCCAAUUUUGACAAUAAAUUGAGAAGUUUGGGAGUCAUGUCUUGAGAAGGGCAUAAUCAGAGUCUCAAAUCUUUAAGGAUGAGGGUCUUGGCCAUGGCUUGUAUAAGUCACCUGGACCAGUGGAGGUGAUGGUAAAGGACGAGGAGAAUCUAGAAAGGGUGGUAGAGAAGGGGAAUUAGAAGUUACACCCUUGAGUAACUUGAGUAAUUAGUUACUUGCAUAAUUUGGCAUGAUGGGCAGUUAAUUCUGCUAGCCUUCCUCUUGUAAAUUUCUCCUCAAAAUAGAACAAGCAGAAUCCUGAAGGAUCCUGACUGUAAUAGGUACUAUAGUGCAUAACCUGAAUCCACCAAGGCACUCAUUCCCCAAGCUACCUGGACUGCUGACUGCUAACAGUUUAUAACUGACUGUCUCUGUAAGAAUUGCUUUUGGCUGAAGGGAGUUGCCUUACCCCAGUAGCAGAAGCAGUCCAGAUGGAACAUUUGAAAGAUGUGGGGGUUAAGCAGUCUGGCCCAUUUAAUUUAAUUAGGGACAUCUCUGAAGAGUCCAUGCAACUCCAGAGCUCCUCUUGAUAUCUACGGAAGCCUCUAAUAAAAUUGCAUCACAGUUAAAUGUCUCCCUCUGCCCCAUCCUGCUUGUCUCACUCCUUCCCAGGUGCUGAUUGCAAGGGCAUAAACUCCUGCACAUGAAUCCCCAUCUGAAUCUAUUUCUCAGGGAACUCAAGCCAACACAAAGGUUUAUUGUGGAAUUUGAGAAGCUGAUCCUAAGCUUUAUAUGAAAGAGCAAUAUUCAAGAUAAGUCAAGAAGUUGCUAGAGAAGAACAACUUUUGGGAAAUAGGUAGUGGUGUUGGGAGAGUCCUACACUAUCACAAGUCAAGACUUAUAAAGAUGCAGGAAAUAAGACAGUAUAAAUUUCCCUACAGAAGCAGAUAAAUAGCUAAUGAAGCAGAAUAGAAAAAUGGACAUAAACUCAAACAUACAUGAAAACUUGAAUCAUGAGAGCUCAUUGAAGGAAGAUAAACUAUUGAAUAAAUAUAUGGUGAGAAUUCACUGUCUCAUACUAUAUGCAAAACUAAAAUCCAAUUGAAUUAAUGUCAUAUAUGGAAGACAAAACUCUAAAACUUUUAGGUGGCAACACAGGAGAGUAUCUUUUUGACAUCCAGAUAGAGAAGGAUUUUCUAAACAGGAAAUUAAACAGCAUACCAUAAAGGAAGAGGUUAAUAAGUUUGACUAUAAUAUUAAGAACUCCUUGUCAUCAAGUCACCGUAAACAAAAUUAAAAAGUCAUAAACUAGAAAAAUACAUUUGAAAUUCAUACAAGUACAAAAGAGUAGUAUCUAGAAUAUAUAAAGAAACCCUACAGAUCAAUUAAAAACUAAAAUUUCUUUUUCCAAAACAAAAGACAUAAGCAAAUAUCUUUUAUGACAUAAAUACAAAUAUUUUAAAACAUUUUAUAAUAAAAUAAAAUUGCCUAAAAGUUUAUAUCAUCCAUACAUACAGACGUUUAGGCAGGAAAGGUAUUUGUUGGUUUUCAGACUCUUAAUGUAGACCACUCAUGCCUUUUGUUCACCUAUGUAUAUUUCUUUAUAGUUUUCCAGAGAUUUUAAUCCUCAUGAAAAUCUCACCUUAAAAAUAUUCUUAACCUAUUAUUUAACCUAUUUCUUAAUAAAAAAAAUUGGUUUCAUAUCAACUAUAUUUUCAAGCACAAUUCUUGAAAACAAUUAAAAUUCUGCAUCAUGCUUAAGAAGCACACGUUGGAGUUCCCGUCGUGGAGCAGUGGAAGUGAAUCUGACCAGGAACCAUGAGGUUGUGGGUUUGAUCCCUGGCAUUGCUCAGUGAGUUAAGGAUCUGGCGUUGCCAUGAGCUGUGGUGUAGGUUGCAGAUUCGGCUCCCAUCUGGCGUUGUUGUGGCUCUGGCGUAGGCAGGUGGCUACAGGUCUGAUUAGACCCCUAGUCUGGAAAUCUCCAUAUGCCACAGGUAUGGCCCU